CCCAACUAAGACGUCCCACUCCCUUACAUUUGAGUUAAUUUUUGCGACUCAUGAGGUACUAGCGCAAAAAAAUACAAUACCUCAGUUUAAUGUAACCUUGCACUCUACUCCAAAUUCAAAAUCUAGUACGCCGUUAUUGUUUCUAAGGGUAACCUUGAGGUUGUUUAGGCGAAUGUAAACAUGAAAAAAAAAAUCGCUGACGGAAAGCAGAAGUAAUUGUUUGAACUUGGAUCUUGUACUGCUGCCUAGUAAAAUCUACCACCACCGGUUAAACUGCGACAGCGGAUUUGAAUUCGGUAGAUGCUGACGUUGUAAGUGACUAUCACAUGGACGGAAUCGCUGGGAAAUCGUGACGUGGUGUAGGUGGAACGGGCCGGCAGUGAAACUAACAGUCUACCAGAGUAGCCUUGAGACUGCAGGGAGACUCACGCUAGCGUAGGUGACGAUGCGGGAGGCGCUCUGAACAAGCGACGGUGUCGGUAUACCUGAUGGUCAAGCGGUUAUUGGACAUGAGCCAAAAUUGGACAUAAACCAAAGUUUCUACUAUCGUAGGGGUUGACCAUCAAGCAAAUAGCCGUCGUAGUAUCUUCCAACUGAAAUGUGUAAAGGAUCAUUGUUCUGGUCUAAUUGAAUUGGAAUCAAUAAAUUGAAGUUGCCUGCCUUU